CGGCCGCUCUUCGGAGGGUUUGACUCUAUGGUUGAGGCGCGCCAAGAUUAUGUCACCACGAGCCUGUUUGGGUCACGUGGGUGAGCGCUGAUGUUUGUUUGUGUGGGGUGCACAGCGAUGAGGCUGUAGUUGGGCGCGCGCCAGGCGGAGCGGCGGCUGUUUGGCUGGGCUGUGAGCUGUCUAGGGCAGGGGUGUCUCCGUGCCCGGGGGAGCCCAGCUCGAGUUACUGGCGGGUUCUCGGCCGGAAAGGAGCAGCUUGUCUCUGUAGGUGGAGAAGGUGCAAACUACAAAGUAAUGUACUGUGACUAUGUGACAUACAUGAUGUGACUGAAAACUCUGAAACUAUAGAAAAU